rnacentral:rRNA from 1 species
UGGGGGAUAUUGCACAAUGGAGGAAACUCUGAUGCAGCGACGCCGCGUGAGGGAAGAAGGUUUUCGGAUUGUAAACCUCUGUCUUCGGGGACGAAACAAAUGACGGUACUCGAGGAGGAAGCCACGGCUAACUACGUGCCAGCAGCCGCGGUAAUACGUAGGUGGCAAGCGUUGUCCGGAAUUACUGGGUGUAAAGGGAGCGCAGGCGGAACUGCAAGUUGGGUGUUUAAUCUACGGGCUCAACCCGUAUCAGCAUUCAAAACUGUGGUUCUUGAGUAAUGCAGAGGUAGGCGGAAUUCCCGGUGUAGCGGUGGAAUGCGUAGAUAUCGGGAGGAACACCAGUGGCGAAGGCGGCCUACUGGGCAUCAACUGACGCUGAGGCUCGAAAGCAUGGGUAGCA